rnacentral:lncRNA from 1 species
UGGAGGAAGGCACAUGCAUGAAGACGAAUGGCCAUUUAAUUGCGAGUAAGAGAUGAAGAGAUGGGAGGAGGUUUGUCUGGGAGGAGGCAAUGAUCUGGUUAAUGAUUCUUUUGCUUCUAGAGGGAGAUUUUGGAACCACUGGGCAAUGCCUCUGGUACUCAUUGUUCUAUCAAACCUCAUCCUGGCCUGUGGCUUGGGCUCCAAACUUCCUCCCCUUGUCGUAUAGAGCAGGCAAGUUGCACAAUAUGUAUAUCAAACCCUGUCUCUCAGACCACACUUCCCUUUUGGUCCCCAGUGAGUAGAAGAAAUAACUCACUGUAGAAAUUGUUAUGCUGGGGGUGUGGCUUAGUGGUGACGAUACUGGUGAUGAUGUUGGCAAAGGAAAUGAACAAAGCAAAAGAGGAAGUCGGCAAAGCCAGGAUGGUGAUGGGCACUCUAGCUUUUGGGGAACUUUUCAGCUCUUGACACACUCAGCACUUUUAAGCUAUAAGGUUUCCUUUGUUCUGGCAUCUCACUCCUCCAAGAUGGAGGCAGGCAUUUCUUCAAAGCUGAAAGUGCCUUGGUACCUGUUUUACUUACUUUCUAUUGCUGUGAUAACUAUGAAUACUGUGCAGCCCAGACUGGCUUCAAGUACAUGACAAUUCUGCAUUUGUCUCCCAAGGACUGAGAUCACAGGCACGAGCUCCCAGGCCUGGUUGAUGUAUGUGUUCUACAUCUUCUUUACUUAUCCUCUUGCUCAGAACAGAGCUAAGCAAUGACUGUCCUCACUACUUUCUCCAGACCUUGUCUUAUUCCUUGAGUUGACGACUUAGCACAGGCCUUAGGGGUCUGUUCUUUCCCUCUCGUCUUUUCUGUCCUGGUUACUUUUAUGUCAACUAGACACAAGCUAGAAUCAUCAGAGAGAAGGGAGCCUUAACUGACAAAAUACAUCCAAAAGAUCUGUCUGUAGGCAAGCCUGUAGGAAAUUUUUAUUAAUUGGUAUUUAUUUGGGGAGGAACCAGCCUGUUGUGGGUGGUGCCAUCCCUGCGCUGGUGGUCCUGGGUUCUAUAAGAAAGUAGGCUGAGCAAGCCAUGAGGAGCAAGCCAGUGAGCAACACCCCUCCAUGAUCGCUGCAUCAGCUCCUGGUUCCAGGUUCCUGCCUUGCUUGAGUUCCUAUCCUGACUUCCUUUGAUGAUAAACUGUGAUGUGGAAAUGUAAGGCAAAUAAACCCUUUCCUCCCCAAGUUGCUUUGGUCAUGGAGUUUCACUGUAGUAAUAGUAACCGACAUGAAAAUGAAUUGGCACCAAGAUUUACUGUGACAUUACUGUGACAGACCUGAGCAUAUUGUUUUGGAAGGACUUUGGGACUUUGUGCAAGAAAACCCAUAGAGCGGUCAAUUCUUGGUGAGCUGUUCCUAGGAACUUGGAAGAUAGGGACGUUGAGGGCAACACAAAGAUGGAGGCCUGACUUGUGAAGCUUCAGAAGGAAGCUUAAGGACUCCUUCAGGGCCAUUUGUUAUAUUGAAUUACGAUUCCGUGGUUCUCAUUAGCUGGGGCUGAAGAAUAGGCAUCGAUAAACAAGAUUCCAGAACCACUAAAAAUGAAACCUUUGCUUUGCUUAGAUACUCAGUGCUGGUGAGCUGGAGCUGAGAAAUUAGCAGUGACUAAGAAAAGUCCAGCAUUAUUGAGGUGAAAUCUUCUGGGAAGUGUUUUCUGAGAGCACACAGAAGCUGUGUUCCAGAGAUGGCCAAAGUUGUAUUUCUCCACCGGCAGCCAAAUUUGGUCAUGUGGAUGAGUCACCCAGGUGACACUGGUUCAUGGAAGAGCAGCUGAGUCUUGGCACUGACAAUACAGCCUCAGUGGCAGCUGAAGGCCCAGGAUUGAAAGGGUCAUGCAGAGCAGUUGAGGCUUGUCCCCAUGAAGAGAGCCCAGGAGAGUACUGGUAUAAGUGCAGCCCAGUCGCAGC